rnacentral:rRNA from 1 species
AGCUCCAAUAGCGUAUAUUAAAGUUGUUGCAGUUAAAUAGCUCGUAGUUGAAUUUUGGGCCGGUUUGAUGGUCCCGCUCACGUGGGUACUGUCAGGUUGGCCUUUCCUUCUGGGGAACUUGUAUGCCCUUCAUUGGGUGGACAAGGGAUCCAGGACUUUUACUUUGAAAAAAUUAGGGUGUUCAAAGCGGGCAUUUGCUUGAAUACAUUAGCAUGGAAUAAUAGAAUAGGACUUUGGUUCUAUUUUGUUGGUUUCUAGGACCGAAGUAAUGAUUAAUAGGGAUAGUUGGGGGCAUUAGUAUUUAAUUGUCAGAGGUGAAAUUCUUGGAUUUAUGAAAGACUAACUUCUGCGAAAGCAUUUGCCAAGGAUGUUUUCA